rnacentral:tRNA from 1 species
CUCCUGAUAGCUCAGUCAGUAGAGCAUGAGACUCUUAUUCUCACGGUCAUGGGUUCGAGCCCCACGUUGGGCAAAAGA